AUUGAACGCUGGCGGCAGGCCUAACACAUGCAAGUCGAGCGGAUGAAGGGAGCUUGCUCCUGGAUUCAGCGGCGGACGGGUGAGUAAUGCCUAGGAAUCUGCCUGGUAGUGGGGGAUAACGUCCGGAAACGGGCGCUAAUACCGCAUACGUCCUGAGGGAGAAAGUGGGGGAUCUUCGGACCUCACGCUAUCAGAUGAGCCUAGGUCGGAUUAGCUAGUUGGUGGGGUAAAGGCCUACCAAGGCGACGAUCCGUAACUGGUCUGAGAGGAUGAUCAGUCACACUGGAACUAGGACACGGUCCAGACUCCUACGGGAGGCAGCAGUGGGGAAUAUUGGACGAUGGGCGAAAGCCUGAUCCAGCCAUGCCGCGUGUGUGAAGAAGGUCUUCGGAUUGUAAAGCACUUUAAGUUGGGAGGAAGGGCAGUAAGUUAAUACCUUGCUGUUUUGACGUUACCAACAGAAUAAGCACCGGCUAACUUCGUG
rnacentral:rRNA from 1 species